AAGGUCCAUUAUGACACAUUUCAAUUCCCAGAAUUGAAGAAGUGUGGGUCUGCUGUCUCAUUAUGGUAAAGUCUACACUUAGGAAACCCUCAGACAUACUCUUUGAUCAAAAUGAUGCUCAUAACAUUCUGUUUUUUCAAGGCCGAAGGAUCAGUGCCCCCCGCCCCACUCUUGUCCAUUACCGAGAGCAUCCUCACAGUCCAUUGGAAAGUCCAUCAUGAAGUAACGAAUUUGUUCUCUGUGUUUAUCACCUGAAUAAUAGAUUCAGGGCCCAUCAUCUCCUGGAAAGCUAUUAAUCAUACACUGCAGUGUGGCACAGGUUUGAUGGGUUGGCCUCAAAACCAUGCCUGGCUGGAUUGGAAUUGUGGAUGAUGUUCAAUAACUGCCUUCAGAAACUAUUCAAGACAUUUAAUGAAGACACUUUUUUCUCCAUGUUUCUCUUAGGGACAAAAAAUAUAGCCAAUAGCUUUUUCCUCCUGAUUGCAAGUGCUUUCCGAAAUCCUCUGUCUUCUUAAUGGAAGAAGAUUUCUAUCUUGGCUCCUAUUAUUUGAGAGAUGUGAAAAGCAGAUUCUCCAAAUAUAUGUGAGAAACAAAACAAAAAAACCAUUUAUGAAAAGUACAAAAAGUCGCACACAUAAUAAAAGCUAAGCCCUUCCUUUCUUCCUCCUUGGUUAACUUUGGAGCCUUGAUAAAAGACAAUCUGAACAAAGAGCUCUUUAGAACAACUACAAAAAGUUUCACAAAUGCAGCGAGCAAUUACAAACUCUGUUUCAAUGGGCCUCAGAGCCACACAUAGAGAGCCAGGGUUGCCCAAGGCCGUUUCCAAGAACAUUUCUGAAGUUGGGCUUAAAACAAUUUGUUUCCAUUAUCUUUUACUCAAGGUGGGUUCUGGAAUAAUCUAUGGAAUCAUUUGCAAAAUUCAGCAUAAACUUCUCCUUGCAGAAACUCUGGUGACAUAUCAUUUGGCUGAAUCUCACAUGAUAGAUACUAAUGAGAAAUGCGAGCAUGGGUUUGAUAUAGUAUGGGCUUCCUUUUUGUAGCUAAGACAAGCCAAUUCCUGAGAAGACAUGGAUUAAAAAAAAUUGUGUCAUAUUCAUCAUUAGACACCCUUGUAUUUAAUCUACUGUACAUGUCUAAAUAAAAUUGCAAAGUGACAG
rnacentral:lncRNA from 1 species